rnacentral:rRNA from 1 species
GACAGAGGGUGCAAACGUUGUUCGGAAUUACUGGGCAUAAAGAGCACGUAGGUGGUUCGCUAAGUCACGUGUGAAAUCCCCCGGCUUAACCGGGGAAUUGCGCGUGAUACUGGCGAACUCGAGGCGGGUAGGGGUGAGCGGAACUCCAGGUGGAGCGGUGAAAUGCGUAGAUAUCUGGAGGAACACCGGUGGCGAAAGCGGCUCACUGGUCCAUUACUGACGCUGAGGUGCGAAAGCGUGGGGAGCAAACAGG